CUCCCAUUUGUAAGCAUCUCUGAGCCAGAAAUCAUUCAGCGGCUGCUGCUGCUGCUGCAUCCUUCAGGGACAAAAUGUUCUAAAGAGCUAAUGUUGCUCUUUCAUUAAGAAACCUAUUCAGAGCCACAGAGAGCGAUUUUGACAGUGCAACUGGUAGUUGCUCUAGGGUAGGAGCUUGACAGGAGACCUAUUUUCAGCUAAAUGAAUGUAUACUGUUUAUUUAAAGAAACAGUCAGCUGCCGGUUUGGGUAUGCCUGAGAACAUCCCUGUGUGUCUCCUGCACUCUGCAUCCCCAGGCUGCACUUCUUAUGCCUUGAGAUGGCAACAAAACGGCUGGUACGACACGAAUGUCAGCAAUGUGGCUCUCCUUUAAGUCAAAACCUAUUUCAUGCUGUUUGCAGUGAGGAAAUGUACCUUCAGCCCUCUGGCUGUCCGGAUUGAGAGCAGACAUGUGCAAAAUAUUAUAGUUUAUAAGGCCUGUGAACUCAGCGUACUUCAAGAUCAAAUUCCCAUUACAGUGAAAUCAUUGGCAAAACCGUGGUUACCUCCAGGCAGCCUGGAUCAGACGCAGGGAAAAAGCGGAACCGACCAAAGCAACCCCAAAU
ensembl:lncRNA